rnacentral:lncRNA from 1 species
GCUUGAAAAUGAUGAAAACAUAACAAACAUGGCCGCUGGGAUGUAAACAUGCCAACUGUCAAACAUUAAAAAACCGAUCUGGCACCACCCUUGCACUGUCAACAGUUUGAAAUGUAUGAAGAAUAUAAUGGGAAACACAGUAUGUUAUCGAAAUAAUUGUCAAAACCAACAACGAAAGCUGUCAUCGAAAUAAAUCGAACAUUUGUUGAACGUUUUACUUACUACUUGAUUAUUCUGGCG